AAUGGGAAGCGAUUCCUGUGGGCCACCGAGAAGGGCUGAGCUCAAACACUUGCCUUUGGAGGUCCUUGUGCCCUGGAAAGUCACUGCCUUCGGAUGGCCACUGUCACUCAGCCAGGAGGCAAAGCACAUAUUUUGGCACAGCUAUUAUGACACAGAUAUCAAAGAAGUUCUAUAAUAAAAUAAUAAUCUUUAGAAGACUUACUAUGUGCCAAGCACUCUGCUACCUGCUUUACAGGAAUUAUUUAAUUCUCACAACAGCCUUCUGAGGACCUCGGAAAGUAUUCCUGGGGAAGCCCACUCUGCCCCAUGCCCCCCAUCACAAGCCAUCCAUCCCUGACCUCUGUGACUCCAGCUCAUCCUUUGACGCUGUGACAAUGCUGGGGAAGGAGCUCCUGCUCUUCAAGGACCGCACAGAGAGAAAGUAACAAAGUAUUUUUUAAAAAGCAAAAUUUACCCAGAAUCCCACCACCUGGAGUGUAUCAGUCUGCAGGAGCUGCUAUAACCAAGUACCAUAGACCAGGUGGCUUAGACAACAGAAAUGUAUUCCUCACAGUUUUGGAGGGUAAGAAGUUCAAGAUCAAGGUACUGCAAGGAUUUUCUGGAGACGGCAGGUUCACUUGCGGACAGGAAUUCGGCCCAGCACUAUUACCAGCUCCUUCCCC
rnacentral:lncRNA from 1 species